UUUGUAGCUCAGUUGGUAGAGCAGAGGACUGAAAAUCCUCGUGUCGUUGGUUCGAUUCCGACCGGA
rnacentral:tRNA from 1 species